rnacentral:rRNA from 1 species
UACGAAGGGGGCUGGCGUUGCGCGGAAUCACUGGGCGUAAAGCGCACGUAGGCGGAUCCUUAAGUCGGGGGUGAAAUCCUGGAGCUCAACUCCAGAACUGCCUUCGAUACUGAGGAUCUCGAGUCCGGGAGAGGUGAGUGGAACUGCGAGUGUAGAGGUGAAAUUCGUAGAUAUUCGCAAGAACACCAGUGGCGAAGGCGGCUCACUGGCCCGGUACUGACGCUGAGGUGCGAAAGCGUGGGGAGCAAACAGG